AGAGGAAUAGUUCAGUGGUAGAAUGUUGGUCUCCAAAACCGAAGACGGGGGUUCGAGUCCCUCUUCCUCUG
rnacentral:tRNA from 1 species